rnacentral:rRNA from 1 species
UACGUAGGGGGCAAGCGUUGUCCGGAUUUAUUGGGCGUAAAGAGCGUGUAGGCGGCCAUACAGGUCAGCUGUGAAAACUCGAGGCUCAACCUCGAGACGUCGGUUGAAACCGUAUGGCUAGAGUCCGGAAGAGGAGAGUGGAAUUCACGGUGUAGCGGUGAAAUGCGCAGAUAUCGGGAGGAACACCGGUGGCGAAGGCGGGUCUCUGGGCAGUUACUGACGCUGAGGAGCGAAGGCGUGGGGAGCGAACAGG